rnacentral:rRNA from 1 species
GGGUUGUGAGGUUAAGCGACUAAGCGUACACGGUGGAUGCCCUGGCAGUCAGAGGCGAUGAAGGACGUGCUAAUCUGCGAAAAGCGUCGGUAAGGUGAUAUGAACCGUUAUAGCCGGCGAUGUCCGAAUGGGGAAACCCAGUGCAAUUCGUUGCACUAUCGUUAACUGAAUACAUAGGUUAACGAGGCGAACCGGGGGAACUGAAACAUCUAAGUACCCCGAGGAAAAGAAAUCAACCGAGAUUCCCCCAGUAGCGGCGAGCGAACGGGGAGCAGCCCAGAGUCUGAAUCAGCUUGUGUGUUAGUGGAACGGUCUGGAAAGUCCGACGGUACAGGGUGAUAGUCCCGUACACCAAAAUGCACAGGCUGUGAACUCGAAGAGUAGGGCGGGACACGUGGUAUCCUGUCUGAAUAUGGGGGGACCAUCCUCCAAGGCUAAAUACUCCUGACUGACCGAUAGUGAACCAGUACCGUGAGGGAAAGGCGAAAAGAACCCCGGCGAGGGGAGUGAAAAAGAACCUGAAACCGUGUACGUACAAGCAGUGGGAGCACCUUCGGGUGUGACUGCGUACCUUUUGUAUAAUGGGUCAGCGACUUAUAUUCUGUAGCAAGGUUAACCGUAUAGGGGAGCCGCAGGGAAACCGAGUCUUAACUGGGCGUUAAGUUGCAGGGUAUAGACCCGAAACCCGGUGAUCUAGCCAUGGGCAGGUUGAAGGUUGGGUAACACUAACUGGAGGACCGAACCGACUAAUGUUGAAAAAUUAGCGGAUGACUUGUGGCUGGGGGUGAAAGGCCAAUCAAACCGGGAGAUAGCUGGUUCUCCCCGAAAGCUAUUUAGGUAGCGCCUCGUGAAUUCAUCUUCGGGGGUAGAGCACUGUUUCGGCUAGGGGGUCAUCCCGACUUACCAACCCGAUGCAAACUACGAAUACCGAAGAAUGUUAUCACGGGAGACACACGGCGGGUGCUAACGUCCGUCGUGAAGAGGGAAACAACCCAGACCGCCAGCUAAGGUCCCAAAGUCAUGGUUAAGUGGGAAACGAUGUGGGAAGGCACAGACAGCCAGGAUGUUGGCUUAGAAGCAGCCAUCAUUUAAAGAAAGCGUAAUAGCUCACUGGUCGAGUCGGCCUGCGCGGAAGAUGUAACGGGGCUAAACCAUGCACCGAAGCUGCGGCAGCGACACUAUGUGUUGUUGGGUAGGGGAGCGUUCUGUAAGCCUGCGAAGGUGACCUGUGAGGGUUGCUGGAGGUAUCAGAAGUGCGAAUGCUGACAUAAGUAACGAUAAAGCGGGUGAAAAGCCCGCUCGCCGGAAGACCAAGGGUUCCUGUCCAACGUUAAUCGGGGCAGGGUGAGUCGACCCCUAAGGCGAGGCCGAAAGGCGUAGUCGAUGGGAAACAGGUUAAUAUUCCUGUACUUGGUGUUACUGCGAAGGGGGGACGGAGAAGGCUAUGUUAGCCGGGCGACGGUUGUCCCGGUUUAAGCAUGUAGGCUGGUUAUCCAGGCAAAUCCGGAUAAUCAAGGCUGAGGUGUGAUGACGAGGCACUACGGUGCUGAAGUAACAAAUGCCCUGCUUCCAGGAAAAGCCUCUAAGCAUCAGGUAACAUCAAAUCGUACCCCAAACCGACACAGGUGGUCAGGUAGAGAAUACCAAGGCGCUUGAGAGAACUCGGGUGAAGGAACUAGGCAAAAUGGUGCCGUAACUUCGGGAGAAGGCACGCUGGUGUGUAGGUGAAGUCCCUGCGGAUGGAGCUGAGACCAGUCGAAGAUACCAGCUGGCUGCAACUGUUUAUUAAAAACACAGCACUGUGCAAACACGAAAGUGGACGUAUACGGUGUGACGCCUGCCCGGUGCCGGAAGGUUAAUUGAUGGGGUUAUCCGUAAGGAGAAGCUCUUGAUCGAAGCCCCGGUAAACGGCGGCCGUAACUAUAACGGUCCUAAGGUAGCGAAAUUCCUUGUCGGGUAAGUUCCGACCUGCACGAAUGGCGUAAUGAUGGCCAGGCUGUCUCCACCCGAGACUCAGUGAAAUUGAACUCGCUGUGAAGAUGCAGUGUACCCGCGGCAAGACGGAAAGACCCCGUGAACCUUUACUAUAGCUUGACACUGAACAUUGAGCCUUGAUGUGUAGGAUAGGUGGGAGGCUUUGAAGCGUGGACGCCAGUCUGCGUGGAGCCAACCUUGAAAUACCACCCUUUAAUGUUUGAUGUUCUAACGUUGGCCCCUUACCGGGGUUGCGGACAGUGUCUGGUGGGUAGUUUGACUGGGGCGGUCUCCUCCCAAAGCGUAACGGAGGAGCACGAAGGUUAGCUAAUCCUGGUCGGACAUCAGGAGGUUAGUGCAAUGGCAUAAGCUAGCUUGACUGCGAGCGUGACGGCGCGAGCAGGUGCGAAAGCAGGUCAUAGUGAUCCGGUGGUUCUGAAUGGAAGGGCCAUCGCUCAACGGAUAAAAGGUACUCCGGGGAUAACAGGCUGAUACCGCCCAAGAGUUCAUAUCGACGGCGGUGUUUGGCACCUCGAUGUCGGCUCAUCACAUCCUGGGGCUGAAGUAGGUCCCAAGGGUAUGGCUGUUCGCCAUUUAAAGUGGUACGCGAGCUGGGUUUAGAACGUCGUGAGACAGUUCGGUCCCUAUCUGCCGUGGGCGCUGGAGAAUUGAGGGGGGCUGCUCCUAGUACGAGAGGACCGGAGUGGACGCAUCACUGGUGUUCGGGUUGUCAUGCCAAUGGCAUUGCCCGGUAGCUAAAUGCGGAAGAGAUAAGUGCUGAAAGCAUCUAAGCACGAAACUUGCCCCGAGAUGAGUUCUCCCUGAGACUUUAAGUCUCCUGAAGGAACGUUGAAGACGACGACGUUGAUAGGCCGGGUGUGUAAGCGCAGCGAUGCGUUGAGCUAACCGGUACUAAUGAACCGUGAGGCUUAACCUUACAACGCCGAAG